CUUUGCCUCAAGGGUGUGCUGUCCUGACCAGUCUUAGGCUAUUCUUCAUUGUAGCCAAAGGGCACUGCACACCAUUUCUAGAUCGCCCAUGGAAUAUGGCACAUGACCUUUCACUUGCUAGGAAGUCAGUGCCCUAUUCAUCUAGGAACUUCAGGAGAUUUGAUAGCUUCUAGGCCAGGUUCUGGCUGAAGUAAAGUAAUCCAAAUCUCAUUUUCUCUACAGUUUGGGAAACAUGCAAAGCCCUCCUGAGUACUCAACGGAAAAUUCUAUGUAUACUCAUAGAAGUGUUUGGAAUCCAAGAAGAAAGUGAACUUCCCAGGACUCUGGGCAGCCCUACCCAGGGAAGAGGGCAGGAGGGGGAGAUGGAGCCUCUCCGGAUGACAGCCAUGUAGCAGGUGGGGAGGAAGUGCAGAUCCAAAGAAAGAGAAGCGCAGCCUAGCUCCAAGCUGGUCUGAUCAACCCGAAGUGAAGAUACCGGUUCUAACCCAAAACUAUCGGUUUGGGCCCUCAUGGGUGACAGAAAAGUAUCACAGUACUGGUUCCUGUUUGAACACACAUGUUCAUGGGGUCUCGCCUUGCAGCAGCAGGACAGAGGAGGCUGGAAUCACGGCACUCCCACAGCAAGGGCAAUCUUUAAAGGCAGUAAGGUGUGACGCUCCAGACUGGCAGCUUGGCAAGACGGAGCCCAUGGAUACCAGCACACGGGAAUCUGGACCGUUCACUCUGACAGCAGUCAGCACUGGGAACAAAAGGAAUGGAGGAAAAAAAGCGCAAAUGUAUUUUUACAUAUUGUAGGCAUAUGGCCACAAGACCAGCAGAAAUACAUUUAAUUACCAAUUGCGCGCAUUGAGGAGAAAAACACUGGGAAGGAAAAAAAAAAACUGUGUACACAGCAAUAUUAUUCUACUUUAACUUUUCACCUCCUUUUUUUUUGUUAAUUGAAGAUAAAAGGGAUGUGGAUUAGAAUCGCAGAGGG
rnacentral:lncRNA from 1 species